UGAUGUUGAUGAUGAUUCAUAUACCUUACCUACAUUGUUUGAAAAUUUGUGAAAAGCAAUUAUCUCUGAUGUUA